UGUGUGUAUGCAUCCACCUAUGGGAUCCCAUCCACUUACACCAACAGACUUGUGUACUACAUUUAAAGUGCAUCUCUGUACUUCAAGAAAGUCUUCAUAUUCAAAAUGUAUCUUUGGAAGGAGAGUUUGAACGACUCCCAAAUAAGAUCACCAGAGGCCCAGCUCAGAAGGGUGGAUUUGACCAGAGAGAAGUUCAUCCGGAUUUACCGUUCUGCUUGAUAAUCACACACGAUGUCAAAAGCUGUCUCCACCUGGCUACUGCUUCCUGGUAGGGCUGUUCGUGUCCCUUGUCAAUGAACAUGAGAAAACUGAGAUACAGAGUCUUCCCUGUGUGACAGGUGAAAUAAUUUUAAUCUGUGGCAAGGUCAUCUGGCAUGAAGGAAAGCAGAAAGAAAACAAGGAAGGAAAUUCACCAAACUGUAUUGAAUCUUCUUGAAAUUACCCAAUGCUGUAGCAAAAGGCUGAUGUUCCUACCGUAAGUACCAAAGAGAAUUACGUUUCAAAUACACAUAGGCAGCUUUUGUUUGAUGCUGCAGCACACUUCCAAACUAUGACAUGAAUAAUGCUGUAUUUUCUGAUCCAGUCAGCCACACUGUGCAGCUUAUCGAACCCCACAAGCAGGUUUCAUAAGUUAUAUUUUCUAUAAACUUUUCUUCUUCCUAAAACAUAGCUCUACAAUCCUAUGUCAGCAUUUUCCUGUUGUCU
rnacentral:lncRNA from 1 species